rnacentral:lncRNA from 1 species
ACUGUGAGACAUAUAAGGAAGACCUUUGCUCUGUUUUCUAUUCUGUAUAUGAAGUUUUGAAGAAAUCAAACAGUAUGAGAAUAUUCUAGAAUGAUUCAAGUAAUGACUGAGGUACACAGAGCAGGACAAAAGAGGCUUUCAAACAUAAAAGCUGUACCAGAUGAUACAAAAUUAUCUAGUUUAUUUAACAGUAUUUUAUUUUCCCAUAGAUGGAGGAUCUUUCUGUGAAGCUCACACUGGUUUUAAUUCAGCAUACUGCUGCCACAGGUCCUGGGGCUCAUUUUCUAAUGUCAUGGCUGACUCUAAGAUCUCUUUAACUACAAUCAAAAUCCAACAUCCUGUCAGAACUCACCAAUGGGACAAAAAAAAGAAAAACAUUCAGGAAGAUGACACUCCAUUUUAUGCUCAUCACCCCCAAACACCAAAUGCAACUUUCAUGGGAUAAAUGAUGGAUUAUUUUCAAUCCUUCAGCUAUCAAAAGGAACAUGAUCUAAAGCAUCACUUCUACUGGAAUCAUAAAUGACUUGAAAAAUUCAGUCUUUUAUUGGAUGUUGGUCAUUUUCCUCCACAUCUUAAACUAUCUCAAGAAAUCACCAUCUAUCUUCGGAAUUGUCUCUGUUUUGGUAAGUGCUAAUAACUCCUUUGUGACUACACCUGAAGGCAAGUACUAUGGACAGCAGUUAAAUAGGAAUAGAGUUCAAAUAGAAGCUGCUUUUCCUCUAAAACACUCCUUAAAAUGAAAUGAAUAUUUAAAUUGAGAAUGUCAUGUGAGUAUUCCCCUUACAUAUUUUUCUUAUUGAUUUCAAUAACUCCUGUAUAAUACUUAAAACCGUUUUUUACACUUGUUUCUACAAUAACCAAUAUCCUCUUGCUAGAAUGACAGCAUUGUUUUCUAAAGAGAAUAGCUAUUUCUAGUGGACACGCAAACCGUAUUUAAUUCUACGUCUAUUUCCUAAAAAAGCCUAUUUUAUUUGCUAACAUGGUACACUGCCCAAGCUAUACAUAGCUAGCCUAAUCUAUGUUCAAAAACUCGUUCUACAGUCCAUCACUGACUGACUAUUGCUGACUUAAAGAAAAGCAAUGGGUUUCACUUGUGUCGGUGGAACAGUGCUUUUUCAUGGGGCAAACUAAACCACAUUCCUUGAAAGAACAGUGAUGGCCCACUUGUACAUUCUCCUGUAACUACUGCUUUAUGAGGAAAUAGUCUGAGAUGUAUAGAGAUGGGAAAAAAUGUGUUCUCACUUAAAUUUCUCAAGAAGUAUAGAUGAUAAACAUAAUAUAAAGAGAGAAU